UAUUUUACGCGCGAGGCUGACGCGUCUGCAGGCCAAGGUCAAGUUGAAAGUUGCCGUCUUGCCGCG
ensembl:misc_RNA